rnacentral:rRNA from 1 species
AGCAGCCGCCGCGGUAAUACGUAGGUGGCAAGCGUUGUCCGGAAUUAUUGGGCGUAAAGGGCUCGCAGGCGGUUUCUUAAGUCUGAUGUGAAAGCCCCCGGCUCAACCGGGGAGGGUCAUUGGAAACUGGGAAACUUGAGUGCAGAAGAGGAGAGUGGAAUUCCACGUGUAGCGGUGAAAUGCGUAGAGAUGUGGAGGAACACCAGUGGCGAAGGCGACUCUCUGGUCUGUAACUGACGCUGAGGAGCGAAAGCGUGGGGAGCGAGCAGGAUUAGAUACCCCCGUAGUCCCUGUCUCUUAUAC